GAUUCUAUAGUCAAUGUUAUGAUAUUAAAUUGCAAAUUUAAAGUAGUAUUUUACUGGAAUCU
rnacentral:tRNA from 1 species